rnacentral:rRNA from 1 species
GCAGUAGCCACGGUAAUACAGAGGGUGCGAGCGUUAAUCGGAUUUACUGGGCGUAAAGCGUGCGUAGGCGGCUUUUUAAGUCGGAUGUGAAAUCCCUGAGCUUAACUUAGGAAUUGCAUUCGAUACUGGGAAGCUAGAGUAUGGGAGAGGAUGGUAGAAUUCCAGGUGUAGCGGUGAAAUGCGUAGAGAUCUGGAGGAAUACCGAUGGCGAAGGCAGCCAUCUGGCCUAAUACUGACGCUGAGGUACGAAAGCAUGGGGAGCAAACAGGAUUAGAUACCCCAGUAGUCCCUGUCUCUUAUAU